AAAGUAUUCGGGUCGUCGGUCUACCGGGCAAUAUCGCCCGCUCGAUGGAAGAUUAUUUUUGGACGGU
rnacentral:pre_miRNA from 1 species